GACGAACGCUGGCGGCGUGCCUAAUACAUGCAAGUAGAACGCACAGUUUAUGCCGUAGCUUGCUACACCAUAAACUGUGAGUUGCGAACGGGUGAGUAACGCGUAGGUAACCUGCCUGGUAGCGGGGGAUAACUAUUGGAAACGAUAGCUAAUACCGCAUAAUAUUGAUUAUUGCAUGAUAAUUGAUUGAAAGCUGCUAUUGCAUCACUACCAGAUGGACCUGCGUUGUAUUAGCUAGUAGGUGAGGUAACGGCUCACCUAGGCGACGAUACAUAGCCGACCUGAGAGGGUGAUCGGCCACACUGGGACUGAGACACGGCCCAGACUCCUACGGGAGGCAGCAGUAGGGAAUCUUCGGCAAUGGACGAAAGUCUGACCGAGCAACGCCGCGUGAGGGAAGAAGGUUUUCGGAUCGUAAAGCUCUGUUGUAAGAGAAGAACGGGUGUGAGAGUGGAAAGUUCACACUGUGACGGUAUCUUACCAGAAAGGGACGGCUAACUACGUG
rnacentral:rRNA from 1 species